rnacentral:rRNA from 1 species
CCUGAACGCUGGCGGCGUGGCUAAGACAUGCAAGUCGCACGGGCCUCGCAAGAGGUCAGUGGCGAACGGGUGAGUAAAGAAUCGCUAACGUACCCCGGACUCUGGGAUAGCUACCCGAAAGGGUGGGUAAUACCAGAUGAUAUAACUUUCCUGCAUGGGAGAGUUCUCAAAGGCCGCCGGCAACGGUGGAACGGUCUGGGAGCGGGCGAUUUCGUAUCAGCUAGUUGGUGAGGAACGGCUCACCAAGCGACGACGCGUAGCCGGACUGAGAGGUUGGCCGGCCACAUUGGGACUGAGACACUGCCCAGACUCCGUACGGGGGCUGCAGUAACGAAUCUUCCGCAAUGCACGCAAGUGUGACGGAGCGACGCCGCGUGUGGGA